AGAAACAUAAAGGAAUAAAAAGACAAUCACAGCAACCAAAAGAAAAAUCACGAUGACAAGGAAAAUUGUGAGGAAUUUUCUCUCAUCAUCUCCAUUCUUUUCAUUCUUUUUUCUUCUCAUUCACUCUCCUUUCACCAUCAAGAACAAACAGCAAUCCCUCUAACAACAAAAAAGAACAACAGGGUUUGUGUGUGGGAGAACAACAAAAGAGAGAAGAAAA
rnacentral:ribozyme from 13 species